ACCUAGUUGGCUGAGUUAGUUAAAGCAUCCUGACUUCAGCUCAGGUCAUGAUCUCACGGUUCGUGGGUUCAAGCCCCGCAUCGGGCU
rnacentral:tRNA from 1 species